GGAAGUUAAAGUCGUAACAAGGUUUCGGUAGGUGACCGUGCGGAAGGAUCAUUAUUGAAUUUUUGAAGAGGCUGUUGCUGACCCUUGGGUAAUGUGCACGCCUUGUUCCAAAUCUUUACACCUUUGUGCACUCUUGUAGAUCAGUUUCGAAAGGAAUUGGUUUAUGUUUCAAUUAUACACUUUAAUAUGUUUAGAAUGUCUUGAUCAGCUUGUUUAAAACCAAGUUGAACAAAUAUUACAACUUUCAACAACGGAUCUCUUGGCUCUCGCAUCGAUGAAGAACGCAGCGAAAUGCGAUAAGUAAUGUGAAUUGCAGAAUUCAGUGAAUCAUCGAAUCUUUGAACGCACCUUGCGCUCCUUGGUAUUCCGAGGAGCAUGCCUGUUUGAGUGUCAUUAAAUUCUCAACUCUUCAAGCAAAUUUGCUUUUGUUGGAAGAGCUUGGAUUUGGAGGCUUGCUGGCUUUCUUAGUCGGCUUCUCUUAAAUAUAUUAGCAUGUGCCCCCUAUUUUGUGAAUGGGCUUUGGUUUGAUAAAUUAUCUAUGCCAUUGGCCAUGAAACAAAUGUUGAGGUGGUUUGCUUCCAACAGUCUUUAAUUAGACAAAACAAAACAAUGAUUUUGACAUUUGACCUCAAAUCAGGUAGGACUACCCGCUGAACUUAAGCAUAUCAAUAAGCGGAGGAAAAGAAACUAACAUGGAUUCCCCUAGUAACUGCGAGUGAAGCGGGAAAAGCUCAAAUUUAAAAUCUGGUCAGUUACGCUGUCCGAGUGAAUUCUAAANAAGAGCUUUCCGUGCUGUACCGUGUACAANUCUCUUGGAACGGANCAUAAUAUAGGGUGAGAAUACCGUCUUUGANNUGAACUGCCCUAACUAUUGUGAUGCGCUCUCAAUAAUCGAGUUGAUUGGGAANGCAA
rnacentral:rRNA from 1 species